GGGUUGGAGCUCAGUGGCAGAGUGCUUGCCUAGCAUGUGUGAGGCAAUGGGUUCGAUCCUCAGCAACACA
rnacentral:tRNA from 1 species